ensembl:lncRNA
AAGAUUACAUGGACACAGAAUACGAGUAAAAUUUUUCCAUUACACCCUUCAGUCUUGACAAUCAGCAUUCCCGCAGUACACAUAUUGAAACAGCAUUGGCCAAUAGGAGAGGCUCACAGAGUAUAUAUGUAGGCAGCCUCAAUAACUCAGCGGAGAAUUAUGAAUCGCUUAGAGAAGAAAUGCAUCGAACAAUCGAGGAGAGGUGGUAGACAGGUGCGCUUAAUAAUAUCAGGAAUAGCUGGAAUUUCGUCUAUCUGCGGCCUUUUGACAAUCGAGUGGUUUAAUAUCCAUGGAGUCUGUGCUGGAGUCCUGCGCAUGGUACUCCAAGCUGUGAUGAGGCAGUGUUUUUCAGAGUUCACCUCAUCUGAAGAUGACUGGCUUACAACUUAUCAAGAUCAAUUACAGCCCAUCAUAGAAUUCAUCUUCAAUAAGGUGGUUGGAUACCUGGCAUAAUCAGAAGGCUGCAAACGGAAACCCAGAAUUUGACUUAUGGAAAUAGAAUAUAGAAUUCGGCUCAUGAAUAAUUUGACCUUUAUUUAAUAAAAGAAAAAUAAUAAUAAUAAACUGUGUGCUUCUUUUCUUCUUAUUAACAACAUUUACUGCUGGUGUUUAUACAUUUGAAGUAAAUUGUGUAAAGUGGUUUGAGGAUUUUAAAGCAGGAAAAUCAGAACCCACCAAAUGAAAUGAAAACUCAAUUUAAAACUCUGUUUU